rnacentral:lncRNA from 1 species
UCUUUUGUUAAAUUGUUUUUAAUAUUACUGAAAUAUUAUUUAAUGAAAUUAUAAAUAUUAUUCUUAUGGCACCUAUAUUAUAAGUAUUGUAGCCUGUUAAACGACGGAGAAACAAUGGGGCGUAGAUUGUACAACACGCGUUCAAGUGAUUGUUACAGGACCCCUAUCAGCAACCACCCUCUGUUUCUUGCCGUAUUUCUAGUCAACCGUUUAUCGUGAUAUUAAACCAUGCAUUUUCUGUUAGAGUCAAAUCUUGAACGAAUUUUACUGAAUAUAAGACAGAAUUUCUGUAUAUUAAGUGAUAUUCAUUAUUGGACAUUGUAUUUUAAGCUUUAAACGACGGUAACAAAAUAGUAUUAUGUAGGCCACCUGUUUAUGAUGUAUGUUUAUUAUUACGUUAUCUACCAAUAAACAAAAAUAAAAAUUAAUACAGCUAAUAUAAAACACUAUUCAUUUAUUAUAAAUUAAUUUUUUUUUAACAUGUUUAACAUCAUCCGGUGAACGAUGCAAUAAUAUUAUUGAGUUUUCCAGUAAGACAAUGAAUCGGUUUGCUGCAGGCCUGAUUACAGGACUCGUAAUUGGUUUAGUUGUAGGUGGGCAGAGGAAAUGCAGAAAAACGUUACCGAAUACAAGACCAAAAACUCCAAAUUCAACGACGCCUAAGACAACGACGCAAAAAACAACGACGCCAAAGACAACGACGACAAAGACAACGAUGCCAAAGACAACGACGCCAAAGACAAAUUCAUCAACAACACGGACAAGAUCGUGAGAUCGCCAAACAAUGUACAAUCACCAAUGUAGUUUGAUCUAUUAGCAUGUUAUUAUAAAAAUGUUCGUCACUGUGACAAGGAAAUGGCAAAACCGUGGAAAUUGUCACGAUAAUUAGGCGCACCUACAACUGAUAGGUACAUUGUGGAUAUUCACGAUCAUUCUCGAGAAUCGCAGGGAAUUCCCACCAAGAGACGUUUUUGAAAAUCGUCCAACACUAAACGGGUAUAAUAAUACGAGGGAUGACAAUAUUCAGUAACUCCUAACAGAAUAAUAUUGAACAGUAAAAUAUAUCUGUUUAGACGUACUUUUGUAAAAACGCCGUGAGCUACGAUUUUGGAUGAAGUGAAAUCGCAGUGAAGUUUACAUCGGUUAAAACGCGAUCCGUCGCGAAUUUAGUAAUGUAAAUACCUACUACAACACAGCUUGCAGUGAAGUGCAGCAAUAAUAAUUGUAUUCGUUAUUUGGUUCGAUCUAUUAACAUAUUAUAGUAUUCGUCACGGCGACUAGAAGGACGACACGACCAUGGAUAGUUUAAACGAUUAAAUGUAUUAUUGUUUGAACAGGGUAAUGAUGUGGAAAGGAUUUUUCGUACGUGACAAUACUGGAAAACGUGAGGGAUUCGGAAAACGGAUUAGAGAGACGGCAAAUCGGAGUAAAUUCAGAUUUAACGUAAUGUUCGCACAUAAAUUAUUGACAUUUUAUUUACACGCACUAACAUUGAAAACAAACCAGAGCGUUCGCAGUUACUAAUAAUAACAUAAUAUAUUUUAUGGUUACCUAUAUUUUAAUAAAAUGCGAGCUUGUUUGA